rnacentral:rRNA from 1 species
GACGAACGCUGGCGGCGUGCCUAAUACAUGCAAGUAGAACGCUGAAGAGAGGAGCUUGCUCUUCUUGGAUGAGUUGCGAACGGGUGAGUAACGCGUAGGUAACCUGCCUUGUAGCGGGGGAUAACUAUUGGAAACGAUAGCUAAUACCGCAUAACAAUAGGUGACACAUGUCAUUUAUUUGAAAGGGGCAAUUGCUCCACUACAAGAUGGACCUGCGUUGUAUUAGCUAGUAGGUGAGGUAACGGCUCACCUAGGCGACGAUACAUAGCCGACCUGAGAGGGUGAUCGGCCACACUGGGACUGAGACACGGCCCAGACUCCUACGGGAGGCAGCAGUAGGGAAUCUUCGGCAAUGGGGGCAACCCUGACCGAGCAACGCCGCGUGAGUGAAGAAGGUUUUCGGAUCGUAAAGCACUGUUGUAAGUCAAGAACGAGUGUGAGAGUGGAAAGUUCACACUGUGACGGUAGCUUACCAGAAAGGGACGGCUAACUACGUG